rnacentral:lncRNA from 1 species
GGAAAGCCAAGCUCGAUCAGUGGGGAUUAAGAAGGCUUCUCCCUACAGCCCGAGGAGCAACUUUUAAAUCUGGUGUCCCCGAGCCAGAAAAAUCAAGCCUGAAGGGGGAACGUGAGUGAGCUGAAGACAUCUGAUUCAAGGGAGCCGGUUCUGACUUUUGUGCUGGACUGAAGCAACAUAUUAGAUUGUGGUCAUGGAGUGAGAGGCAUAAUGGCUCACUGUGCGGAGAAAGUGGGAUUGAAGUUCACGCCACAUGUCUAUGAACAUUGCUAAUCACACUGGAGUUAAAGAUAAAAGGAGGGGGCAGCGAGUUCUCCAGGAGCGGCAGGGCUCCUGGGUCCGAGAGUGGGCCGGACUCAUACCACCGCGAUUCCCAGCCGAAAAGUGCGCACAGAGCCAGGUAGGCCCCACGCAAUCCCGGAGGCCAGGACGCGAGAACAAAGACCCCGGUGACACUGCAGACUGAGUUUCUAGGCGCAGGGAGGCCCAGGGGAUGGGCGGGGUGAGCAGGCCCUCGGAGCCGGCCGAGCAGGCUCCCCCAGCCCCCUGCGCCUUGCGCCCAG